UACGGAGGGUGCGAGCGUUGUUCGGAAUUAUUGGGCGUAAAGCGCGUGUAGGCGGUUUUAUAAGUCUGAUGUGAAAGCCCCGGGCUCAACCUGGGAAGUGCAUUGGAUACUGUAAGACUUGAGCACGGGAGAGGGGCAGUGGAAUUCCUAGUGUAGGAGUGAAAUCCGUAGGUAUUAGGAGGAACACCGGUGGCGAAGGCGGCUGCCUGGACCGAUACUGACGCUGAGACGCGGAAGCGUGGGGAGCAAACAGGAUUAGAAACCCCGGUAGU
rnacentral:rRNA from 1 species